UGGGGAAUUUUGGACAAUGGGCGCAAGCCUGAUCCAGCAAUGCCGCGUGCAGGAUGAAGGCCUUCGGGUUGUAAACUGCUUUUGUACGGAACGAAAAGCCUCUCUCUAAUACAGGGGGUGAUGACGGUACCGUAAGGAUAAGCACCGGCUAACUACGUGCCAGCAGCCGCGGUAAUACGUAGGGUGCAAGCGUUAAUCGGAAUUACUGGGCGUAAAGCGUGCGCAGGCGGUUUUGUAAGACAGUGGUGAAAUCCCCGGGCUCAACCUGGGAACUGCCAUUGUGACUGCAAGGCUGGAGUGCGGCAGAGGGGGAUGGAAUUCCGCGUGUAGCAGUGAAAUGCGUAGAUAUGCGGAGGAACACCGAUGGCGAAGGCAAUCCCCUGGGCCUGCACUGACGCUCAUGCACGAAAGCGUGGGGAGCAAACAGGAUUAGAUACCCUGGUAGUCCACGCCCUAAACGAUGUCAACUGGUUGUUGGGGAUUUAUUUCUUCAGUAACGAAGCUAACGCGUGAAGUUGACCGCCUGGGGAGUACGGCCGCAAGGUUAAAACUUAAAUGAAUUGACGGGGUCAUAGCUGUUUCCU
rnacentral:rRNA from 1 species